GGUUUCACGGCACGUGAGAGAAGCAGAGGGGACGGAUCCAAGAAUGACGCCCAGGUUGUAACUUGAGUAACUGAGUUGAUGAUAAACAGCGGUUAAGGCGAAGGCUCCACAGCUAGAUUCCUAGCUCUGCCAUUUCAAAGGUGGAAAUCUUGGAUGACUACUUCUCUGUAGCUCGGUUUCCUCAUGCAUAAAAGGAAGAUGAUAAUGAAACCUCCUCUAAGAAUGGGAUGAUUUAGUUCAUGUGAAGCACUUAGGAUAAUCCUGGCACAUAAGUACACAAUCUCACCAAUAUUACCAUUAUCAUCAUUAUAGUGCCAGCAAUUGGUGUGGGGAUAUGGGAGGAACAGCAGUGUAGGGGGAAAUGACAAGUUCAAUUUUCAACACUGAAGUGCCUACAGCACCUCCAAAUGGCAGAGGUCACAUGUAUGGCUCUGCACUAAGAAAGGGAUUUACGAACAAAAGAUUUGGACUCAAGCCAAGAGCAUAUGGAAUGAUCAUUCAAGCCACCAGCCUGAGUGACAUGGAGUGGGAGAACAAAGGAACCCAGGAAGCCUUAUAAGGAACACAGACACUGAAGGGAUACCCAGGUAGGAAGAGUCUACAAAUGAGUCUUGAGAAGUGGCCAGAGAUGUAGGAGAAAAAAGGAGAAGCCCCAGGGAGAAAGUAUUUCAAGAAGAAUCUACAGUGCCAGUUGUUGCUAGGAGAGGAAGUAAGAUAUGGAUGGAAAGAUAUUCAAUGGAUUUAGUAAUAAAAUCUUUGCCCUAAUGGUCUAGGUGACAUGGCCACUGCUGUCCGUUUCGGAAGCUAAGAAGUAAAAUGUAUUAGAACAGCUAUUAAUAACAGGUCCACUGUGCUAACUAAGUCCUAUUAGAGUGGAAAAAGAUAGUUCAGAUGACUGCCAGCAGUGGACAUAGGGAUGGACCCUUAGAAGAUCACUAAAGGACAGUAUCUGGGGAUUAAAGCAAGGAACAAAGCGCUACAGGUUUUAGCCUGAACAGACUUAACUAGACGCAUGAUGCACAAAACAUAAGGCACAGUCCAGAAUAGUCAAUUAAUUCAAAUAGGUUGGCUCACGUGGUAUGAAGAGGGGCUUCUGAGUGGUAAAAUUCAAAAAGUAGAUUAGAACCAUAUUAUAGAAAGGCCUGACCAUGGAAUAUGGAAGUGAUGCAAACGUUUAAAUGCCUUUCCUCCCUGGAAAAUGCCUAAUUAUUCUUUAAUUCUCAGCUCAUAUGCCACCUCUUCAGUGUCACUUUAGGUAAAGAUCAACUAACCUUCAUGUCCUCAAAAUACUUUCUAUUCACAUCUUAACGGCACUGCGUUACGAUUAUGUUUUCUAAACCGUAUGAUACUCACAGGAAUGGACUAUGUCUUGGUACCUGCGUCUUGCGUCUUGCAGGCUAAACAACACCUGUGCCCAAGAAACAUUUUCUGAAUAAAUAUAUACACAAUGACAUUAGAGUGGCACCUUAUGAAGACUGAGAGCUAAGUAAUAUGGAUUGGCAAAGAAGAAACCAGAGGUAGACCAGUCAGAAAGCCAGGAAGUAAAAAGGAGAAGUAAUGGGGUCCUAUCCAUUCAGGCCACUGUGGAAACAGAAGAAGGUGGGAUGUCUCUCUAAAAGGCAGUAUCAGUAGAAUUUGGUGGCCGAUUGAAAUAGGACAGAGAACAGGAGUAAAUUUUUUUAGAAAACCUUAAGAAAAUGGGGGCCCCUGAGUGGCUCAAUCGGUUAGGCGUCCGACUUUGGCUCAGGUCAUGAUCUCAUAGUUUGUGAGUUCAGGCCCUGCAUCAGACCCUGUGCUGACAGCUCAGAGCCUGAAGCCUGCUUGGGAUUCUGUGUCUCCCUCUCUUUCAGCCCCUCCCCCACUCACGCUCUGUCUCUCUCUCCCUCAAAACUAAAUAAACAUAAAAAAAAAAAAGUCAGGGGCGCCUGGGUGGCGCAGUCGGUUAAGCGUCCGACUUCAGCCAGGUCACGAUCUCGCGGUCCGUGAGUUCGAGCCCCGCGUCAGGCUCUGGGCUGAUGGCUCGGAGCCUGGAGCCUGUUUCCGAUUCUGUGUUUCCCUCUCUCUCUGCCCCUCCCCCGUUCAUGCUCUGUCUCUCUCUGUCCCAAAAAUAAAUAAACGUUGAAAAAAAAAAAAAUUAAAAAAAAAAAAAAGUCAUUUAAAAACCUUAAAAAAAUGUAUACCCUUUGACUCAGUAAUUAGCCUUGGAAAUAUAUCCCAAGGGAAUAAUUAGAGAUUUAUGCAUACUUUGGUAUUAUUUAUAAGGGUGGUAAACUGGAAACAAUUUUAACUUUGAACAAUGGAGGACUAGUUAAAUAGCGGUCCUUCUAAUAUGUGCACACGUUAACAUAUACUUACGCCAAUUAUGCAAGGAUAAUGAUAAAACAUGCACAUUAUAAUAAGUCUUAAAAAUAUUUCUAAAACAAAAUAUAUGAUCUGACUUUAAUUUUGUUUGCUAUGUAUGAAUACAGGUGGAAAAACACAGGAAGAGUUUCUGUCAAAAAGUAUACAAGGCACACACCAGGUAUUUCUGAGAUGUGACUGAGCAGACCAUAGGUACCUUUUCCUUCUUUAUAAUGAACUUUCCAAUAUUUUUAUAAUAAAUAUAUUGUUUUUAUAAUUUAAAAAAUCCCGUUUUUACAGGAAGUGAGUUAGUAUUGAGAAAAAUCAAGUCACCAGUUUAUUGUUUUUGAGGCUCAGCGGCAAAAGAAAAUUACGGGACCACAAUUUGAAAGAACAGUAGGAGUGUCACUUUCUUUGUUUUGCCUUACAGAUUAGAGAUAUGAAGGAGGAGCAGAUAAAUAUAGGAACCAGAAUAAUGACAUGCUUUACAAAAAGAAAACUCUUGAUGUAUUUUUCCAUUUAAACAAAAUGCAGAGUAUAGCUAAGGGUACCAGGGAGAAGGUCUUGGAAAGAGAGAAGAAAAAGAAAAAAAUCCUACAAAGGUUACAUCUUUGUAGCACUUGGCACAGAAAAAUUGUUAACUUACUACAUACUGGGAAGAACAUGGGCUUUGGCAUCAAAUGGAGCAGAAGUGAACUCAUGUACCACCCAGCAGCCAUGUGACCCUGGGCAAGUCGCUAGAGUGAGUCUGUCUCCUCGGGGGUGGCAUGGGGCAAAGCACUGCCUAGCACAGCCAUGGGAAUGAAAUGAUCUGUAUGACAGUGACUAGUCGGGUAGACAUGAGCUCAGGACCCCACCACUGGACUUUGAUUCAUUUAGCAGGUCUGAGCCCACACCUGAUCAUCUGUGUUUUACAUAGCUCCCUGGGCAUUAGUACUGCUUGGGCAGGGUAGAGAAACAUGUGAACCGCUCAGUGCCUGGCACAUGGUAGGUACUUGUUAGAUGGCUGUUUUUAUGUAGAGAAUGAGGGCUCUGUCACUUUUCAUUAACACAAUGCCAAGACCUGUCCUAAAUGAGCAGCUCAGAUUUUCUGCUAUGAAACAGAACUAAAAUGAACAAAGAUAACAGAAAUGUCAUUAAAGACCUAAAGGCAUGCCAUGGCAUUCAGAGAUUCAACCUGACAGACUCCAAAGGUCUUUGACAUGUAAUCACAUAUAAUUUUGCUGAGGAGAAUUUAAAUCAUUUCUGCUUCAUGACAUGUAGGACCAAGUCCUUUAGUUGAUCCAUGUGCUUUCUUACUGAUCAGAACCCAGGUUCAUUUAGGUUUGCUGUAUUCUAUUCAUCACCAUAAACAGAUGAAAGCAUUGUUCUUUGUAAAAGGGUCUCAAAAGAGAGUCAAAUGCUAUGCUACAGAGAAAUUUGCAAAUUUGGGGAAAUGGAAAAGGUUUCAGAAAAUAUUCUAGCAAAUGUCAAAGAUCUACUGUAUAAUUACAUUUUUUAAACAUAAGGGAAAGGUCUUAUCCUUUUUCAUAGUUUCCAGCAAUAAAAAGUCACAUGAAAAGGUCAGAGUGCAUGGCAUUUAAUGCACCCAAUAUUUCAACAGUUUUUCUCUCUGUCUUUCUUCCUAGUAUCCUAGAUUAUGCUAGCUGUUAGGAAGAGUCACCGAAAUGCAAUCCCGAGGGAGGCUCAUCACUCAUCAACUAGGAUAAACAUAAUGUGAGCCACAGAGAGCGAUGGCUCCUGCUGGCCAUCUUUGGUCCCCCACCAUCUACAUCCACUAUAGGCAAGAAACAGAAUGGAUUAUUAGCUGUGCAUGAAGCAAAAAGUCCAAGAAAUUAAAACACUCUGAAAACACUGAAGAUUGAGCUAUCUAUGAUUAGUCUACUGCCUAAGUGCCAACUUUCGUGGAGCAAAUGAGAACUAUCAUAGACCAAAAUGAGAGAGCCAAACACAGGACUACCAGAUACUACAUAUGUAAUCUGGGGGUUCAAGUAAGCAAUUCUCUGUCCCUGAAUACAGACCAAAGAGUUUUUUAAUCAGAUGUGCUGAUCUAAAUUACCUGGUGGGAAUUUUAUUUUUUCCUUAGUGACUAACCCUAUAUCCCCUAGAUUAGUAGAAAUACACCAUCUUUCAUAUUUAGAAUGUAAACAUAUGAGCUAAACAUGGAUUAUCUUGGAAUUUAAAAACUCAAAACUUGGGGUGCCUGGGUGGCUCAGUGGGUUAAGCGCCUGACUUCAGCUCAGGUCAUGAUCUCAUGGUGAGUUCGAGCCCCGCAUCAGGUUCCAUGCUGACAGCUCAGUGCCUGGAGCCUGCUUCAGAUUCUGUGUGUGUGUGUGUGUGUGUGUGUGUGUGUGUGUGUGUGUGUGUCUGCCCCUCCCCUGCUCACACUCUGCCUCUCUCUCUCAAAAAUAAAUAAACAUUAAAAAAAUUAUUUUUAAAAAACCCAAAACUUAAAUAUAUCUAUAUGAUGUUUUAUAGUCUUAACACAUGAGCUGAUUUGCUUGAAUGACUUCAGCUAGAAAUGGACAUCUAAAAACAUGACUAUUUGGGGGCAGGAGUUUAAGUUUUUCAACAAUGGCUCCAAACAACCUUCUUAACUACUGUCUAUUAUUCUACAGUACAAGUCUUCAGCUCGAUCACAUUCAUUGUGCCUAGUUUACUGCACAGCCUCAUACUGGCCCAAACUCUAUGCCCUUUCUUGUACUCUUCCUAUCUUGCCCUCAGCCAUCCUUGAAAGUCCAAGGAAGAAAUUAAGCUUCUUAAAGAAGUGAAGUGUUUCAGGGCGCCUGGGUGGCUCAGUCAGUUAAGCGUCUGACUUUGGCUCAGGUCAUGAUCUCGCGAUCUGUGGGUUUGAGCCCCGCGUCGGGCUCUGUGCUGACAGCUCAGAGACUGGAGCCUGUUUCAGAUUCUGUGUCUCCCUCUUUCUCUGACCCUCCCCUGUUCAUGCUCUCUCUCUCUCUCUCUCUCUCUGUCUCAAAAUAAAUAAAUGUUACAAGUGAAGUGUUUCAAUACUAUAUGCUCUCUCUUUACUGAACACUCCUAUAAUUACUCAAAAUGUUUAUAUACUAUAUACCAUAAAAUUUAACAUGUAAUGUGAUAUUUUUUAAGAUUUUUCUAGGUGUAUUCUUAUCUACCCAAGAAGACUGUAAACUUCUAGGCAAGGUCAUAUUUUAUUUUUAAUGUCUACCAGUUUAUUAAAGGAUAUGAUAAAGCAUACAUAUGAACAGUCAGAUGAAAUAGGGUCUGGGAGGGUCCCAAGCAGAGCAGCUCUGUCCCUGUGGAGUUAGGUCAGUUAUCUUCCUGGUAUGUAGAUGUGUUCACUAAGCAAGGUCGUAUUUUAAACAAGACACACCCUCAAACAAAUAUGAAGUGUUUUAUCCUCACCCCCAACCACUUUAACCUAACUGCAAGUGUUUCAAAUGUACACAUUUGUGCCGCCUAAUGGUGAAAAGUAAUUAUUGCAGGGUUAUAACUUAGUAAUUGGCUUCUAAAACAUUUAACAAAAUCAAAUAAUGGUAGGACUAAAUCUUUAUUUAAAAUCAAAGAAGAGUAAAGCUAUUGUUAAAAAUGAUGAAGCACCAGGGGCGCCUGGGUGGCUUAGUCGGUCGGUCAUCCGACUUCAGCUCAAUCUUUAUUUAAAAUCAAAGAAGAGUAAAGCUACUGUUCAAAAUGAUGAAGCACCAGGGGCGCCUGGGUGGCUUAGUCGGUCGGUCAUCCGACUUCAGCUCAGGUCAUGAUCUUGCAGUUUGUGGAUUCCAGCCCCAUGUCGGGCUCUGUGCUGACAGCGCAGAGCCUGGAGGCUUGCUUCAGAUUCUGUGUCUCUCUCUCUCUCUCUGCCUCUCCCUUGCUCAUGCACGUGCUCGCUCGCUCUCUCUCAAAAAUAAUAAAUAAACAUUAAAGAAAAUUUUUUAAAAAAUGAUACAGCACCAGAGAUGAUGAUAAUAUAACUAACUUUUGGUAUGAAUGAGUUACAAGUUUAAAAUUGUCUGAUAAAUUUAUUAGCACUGUCAAUUAAAAAAAAAAAAAAAACUUUCUCAUAUGAAAAGUCUUUUUU